ensembl:snRNA U6 U6 spliceosomal RNA
CUGCUUACUCUGGCAACACAUAUACUAAAAUUGGAAUGAUUUUGAGAAGAUUAGCAUGGCCCCUGCCUUAUGAUAUGCAAAUUUGUGAAUAUAUAUACAUAUAU